GUGAGCCGCGCGGACCAGCUGCAGCGGCUUCGCUUUGACAUUGAGUGAAGCAGUCACGCUUAGUCACGUUGGUGAGUGUUGCUGGAAUCAGUGUGGAGUUACUGGGAGAGGAUAGAGGGCUGAUGGUAUUGCUCUGCUGGGAACUUGCAAGGGUGUGGUGGUUGCUGAAUGGCUUCCUGUGUUGUGAUGCUGCCUGGCCCGCUGAGUCUCUCCCGCACUUUGUGUUUUGCUCUGGAUUUAACUAUUGAAGCAUCUACCCUUUCCACCGGUGGAGAUUUAAGACCACAAAACCAACUGCUACGAAAAUGGCAGCUGGUUCAUGCGGGAGAGUUUCCAAGGAAUAUGGGCCACACGCAAGCAAAAGGACACAAAGCGCAGGGGUGACACAGGCAGUGCUCGGCCUGUGGACUUCGGAAGCCGCGGUCUCCGGUAGGAAGUGGCCGAUUUGGAACUCCAAGCCGCUGAUAGUGUUCUUCCGUUCCGACACUGGUGCUCCGAUCAUCCCGGCGAGAGGGCCUGAAACAUCGGGCCACCCGUAGCGACGACUGCGGAGGCCUCAAAUGCCCUGACCACAGGUGAACAAAGAGGACGAGGACUGAACUUUAUUGCCUUCCUUCACAUGUUGAUUCUGCUGUGUGGGG